rnacentral:rRNA from 1 species
UACGGGGGGGGGCAAGCGUUGUUCGGAAUUACUGGGCGUAAAGGGCGCGUAGGCGGUUCGCUAAGUUGGAUGUGAAAACUCUGGGCUUAACCCAGAGCCUGCAUCCAAAACUGGCGAACUGGAGUACUGGAGGGGAAAGCGGAAUUCCUGGUGUAGCGGUGAAAUGCGUAGAUAUCAGGAGGAACACCGGUGGCGAAGGCGGCUUUCUGGACAGUAACUGACGCUGGAGGCGCGAAAGCUAGGGGAGCAAACAGG